UCCUAACCUUAACCCUCAUCCUAACCUUAACCCUCAUCCUAACCUUAACCCUCAUCCUAACCAUUUGGAUUCCCUAUAUAGAGAAUAGUGGGCCAUUUGGAUUCCCUAUAUAGAGAAUAGUGGGCCAUUUGGAUUCCCUAUAUAGAGAAUAGUGGGCCAUUUGGAUUCCCUAUAUAGAGAAUAGUGGGCCAUUUGGAUUCCCUAUAGAGAAUAGUGGGCCAUUUGGAUUCCCUAUAUAGAGAAUAGAGGGCCAUUUGGAUUCCCUAUAUAGAGAAUAGAGGGCCAUUUGGAUUCCCUAUAUAGACAAUAGAGGGCCAUUUGGAUUCCCUAUAUAGAGAAUAGUGGGCCAUUUGGAUUCCCUAUAGAGAGAAUAGUGGGCCAUUUGGAUUCCCUAUAGAGAGAAUAGAGGGCCAUUUGGAUUCCCUAUAUAGAGAAUAGUGGGCCAUUUGGAUUCCCUAUAUAGAGAAUAGAGGGCCAUUUGGAUUCCCUAUAUAGAGAGAAUAGUGGGCCAUUUGGAUUCCCUAUAUAGAGAAUAGAGGGCCAUUUGGAUUCCCUAUAUAGAGAAUAGAGGGCCAUUUGGAUUCCCUAUAGAGAGAAUAGAGGGCCAUUUGGAUUCCCUAUAGAGAGAAUAGAGGGCCAUUUGGAUUCCCUAUAUAGAGAAUAGUGGGCCAUUUGGAUUCCCUAUAUAGAAAAUAGUGGGCCAUUUGGAUUCCCUAUAUAGAGAAUAGAGGGCCAUUUGGAUUCCCUAUAUAGAGAAUAGAGGGCCAUUUGGAUUCCCUAUAUAGAGAAUAGAGGGCCAUUUGGAUUCCCUAUAUAGAGAAUAGAGGGCCAUUUGGAUUCCCUAUAUAGAGAAUAGUGGGCCAUUUGGAUUCCCUAUAUAGAGAAUAGUGGGCCAUUUGGAUUCCCUAUAUAGAGAAUAGAGGGCCAUUUGGAUUCCCUAUAGAGAAUAGUGGGCCAUUUGGAUUCCCUAUAUAGAGAAUAGUGGGCCAUUUGGAUUCCCUAUAUAGAGAAUAGUGGGCCAUUUGGAUUCCCUAUAUAGAGAAUAGAGGGCCAUUUGGAUUCCCUAUAGAGAAUAGUGGGCCAUUUGGAUUCCCUAUAUAGAGAAUAGAGGGCCAUUUGGAUUCCCUAUAUAGAGAAUAGUGGGCCAUUUGGAUUCCCUAUAGAGAAUAGUGGGCCAUUUGGAUUCCCUAUAUAGAGAAUAGAGGGCCAUUUGGAUUCCCUAUAUAGAGAAUAGAGGGCCAUUUGGAUUCCCUAUAUAGAGAAUAGAGGGCCAUUUGGAUUCCCUAUAUAGAGAAUAGUGGGCCAUUUGGAUUCCCUAUAUAGAGGGCCAUUUGGAUUCCCUAUAUAGAGAAUAGUGGGCCAUUUGGAUUCCCUAUAUAGAGAAUAGAGGGCCAUUUGGAUUCCCUAUAUAGAGAAUAGAGGGCCAUUUGGAUUCCCUAUAUAGAGAAUAGUGGGCCAUUUGGAUUCCCUAUAGAGAAUAGUGGGCCAUUUGGAUUCCCUAUAUAGAGAAUAGAGGGCCAUUUGGAUUCCCUAUAUAGAGAAUAGAGGGCCAUUUGGAUUCCCUAUAUAGAGAAUAGAGGGCCAUUUGGAUUCCCUAUAGAGAGAAUAGAGGGCCAUUUGGAUUCCCUAUAUAGAGAAUAGUGGGCCAUUUGGAUUCCCUAUAGAGAAUAGUGGGCCAUUUGGAUUCCCUAUAUAGAGAAUAGUGGGCCAUUUGGAUUCCCUAUAUAGAGAAUAGUGGGCCAUUUGGAUUCCCUAUAUAGAGAAUAGUGGGCCAUUUGGAUUCCCUAUAUAGAGAGAAUAGUGGGCCAGUGUUUCUGGGUCAUUUAAUAAUUGAGAUGAGAUAGUGCACUACAUAGGGAUUAGGAUAUAAUUUGGGCUUCACACAAUCACUUUUUAAAAUCGGAGCAUCACCCAUUCUUCAGAUUACGUUCCAAAUUAGAUCACUUUUCAUCUCAUUUAUAAACGGACAGAUAUCACUUCUGAUCUAAUGUAUAAACGGCCCAGAUAUCACAUCUGAUCUAAUGUAUAAACGGCCCAGAUAUCAAACCCCAAUAUCCAGGUCGAUACACUUUCUGAUCUAAUGUAUAAACGGGCCAGAUAUCACAUCUGAUCUAAUGUAUAAACGGGCCAGAUAUCACUUCUGAUCUAAUGUAUAAACGGGCCAGAUAUCACUUCUGAUCUAAUGUAUAAACGGGCCAGAUAUCCCGUCUGACCUAAUGUAUAAACGGCCCAGAUAUCAAACCCCAAUAUCCAGGUCAAUACUCUUUCUGAUCUAAUGUAUAAACGGCCCAGAUAUCACAUCUGAUCUAAUGUAUAAACGGCCCAGAUAUCCCUUCUGAUCUAAUGUAUAAACGGCCCAGAUAUCACUUCUGUUCCAAUGUAUAAACGGCCCAGAUAUUAAACCCCAAUAUUCAGUUCAAUACUCUUUCUGAUCUAAUGUAUAAACGGCCCAGAUAUCACUUCUGAUCCAAUGUAUAAACUGCCCAGAUAUCAAACCCCAAUAUCCAGGUCAAUACUCUUUCUGAUCUAAUGUAUAAACGGCCCAGAUAUCACAUCUGAUGUAAUGUAUAAACGGGCCAGAUAUCACUUCUGAUCUAAUGUAUAAACGGCCCAGAAAUCCCUUCUGUUCCAAUGUAUAAACGGGCCAGAAAUCAAACCCUGAUAUCAAGGUCAAUACUGUUCCGAUUAACUGGUCUAUAUUAAAAUGUACAUAACCCCACACAUUCACCAUUACAGAAACAUCACGUUAAGAUUAUAUUAUAUACACUUAGUUUGAUUAUGGUUUUAUAAAAUGUAGAACUGUGUUAAUGUAUUUUAAAAGUCAACAUUUAAUAUCUACAUUUAAUCUAAUUUAAAUGAACUCUUGCUCCUGUCAUCGUUUGUAAAAUCCUGAUAAAGUUUCAUUCAAAAACACAAAUAUUGUACAAAACUGGCAACAGUGAAGACAUAAAAAGGAGGUUAAGACGUUUUCUUUGGCAGCUAUUAAAAUAAUUAAAAUAUGAGAGAGAGAGAGAGAGAGAGAGAGAGAGAGAGAGAGAGAGAGAGAGAGAGAGACAGAGAGAGAGACAGAGAGAGAGAGACAGAGACAGAGAGACACAGAGACAGAGAGAGAGAGAGAGAGACAGAUAGAGACAGAGACAGAGACAGAGACAGAGAGAGAGAGAGAGAGACAGAGAGAGAGACAGAGAGAGAGACAGAGACAGAGAGAGAGAGAGAGAGAGAGAGAGAGAGAGAGAGAGAGAGAGGAGUGUGUUUCUUGUGUAUGUGAGAGAGGAAGUGGUAGAGGUAGAUUCCAGGGGAGGAGAGAUUAGUGUCUUGAUAAGGACAGUCAGUCACAUGACCAGCUUCAUCUCAGUUCAGACACACCAACAUCAGACCUGGCUUAGGCUCAGUAA
rnacentral:lncRNA from 1 species